rnacentral:snoRNA from 1 species
AGCCUUUGUGUUUCCUAUUCAGUUUUGGAAACUAGUUGAUGAGGUGUCAAGAAAGGCAUAAAUAAAUGCUUUGCAGUCUUUUCCUACCCUUAAAUUUGGUAUCUUUGGUAUAAGACCUGCAUACACAACAGUU